UACGGGGGGGGCAAGCGUUGUUCGGAAUUACUGGGCGUAAAGGGCUCGUAGGUGGCCAACUAAGUCAGACGUGAAAUCCCUCGGCUUAACCGGGGAACUGCGUCUGAUACUGGAUGGCUUGAGUUUGGGAGAGGGACGCGGAAUUCCAGGUGUAGCGGUGAAAUGCGUAGAUAUCUGGAGGAACACCGGUGGCGAAGGCGGCGUCCUGGACCAACACUGACACUGAGGAGUGAAAGCCAGGGGAGCAAACGGG
rnacentral:rRNA from 1 species